rnacentral:rRNA from 1 species
UGGAUCCAGACUUUGAUCCUGGCUCAGGAUGAACGCUGGCGGCGUGCCUAAUACAUGCAAGUCGAACGAAACUUCUUUAUCACCGAGUGCUUGCACUCACCGAUAAAGAGUUGAGUGGCGAACGGGUGAGUAACACGUGGGCAACCUGCCCAAAAGAGGGGGAUAACACUUGGAAACAGGUGCUAAUACCGCAUAACCAUAGUUACCGCAUGGCAACUAUGUAAAAGGUGGCUAUGCUACCGCUUUUGGAUGGGCCCGCGGCGCAUUAGCUAGUUGGUGGGGUAAAGGCUUACCGAGGCAAUGAUGCGUAGCCGAACUGAGAGGUUGAUCGGCCACAUUGGGACUGAGACACGGCCCAAACUCCUACGGGAGGCAGCAGUAGGGAAUCUUCCACAAUGGGCGAAAGCCUGAUGGAGCAACGCCGCGUGGGUGAAGAAGGUCUUCGGAUCGUAAAACCCUGUUGUUAGAGAAGAAAGUGCGUGAGAGUAACUGUUCACGUUUCGACGGUAUCUAACCAGAAAGCCACGGCUAACUACGUGCCAGCAGCCGCGGUAAUACGUAGGUGGCAAGCGUUAUCCGGAUUUAUUGGGCGUAAAGGGAACGCAGGCGGUCUUUUAAGUCUGAUGUGAAAGCCUUCGGCUUAACCGGAGUAGUGCAUUGGAAACUGGGAGACUUGAGUGCAGAAGAGGAGAGUGGAACUCCAUGUGUAGCGGUGAAAUGCGUAGAUAUAUGGAAGAACACCAGUGGCGAAAGCGGCUCUCUGGUCUGUAACUGACGCUGAGGUUCGAAAGCGUGGGUAGCAAACAGGAUUAGAUACCCUGGUAGUCCACGCCGUAAACGAUGAAUGCUAAGUGUUGGAGGGUUUCCGCCCUUCAGUGCUGCAGCUAACGCAAUAAGCAUUCCGCCUGGGGAGUACGACCGCAAGGUUGCAACUCAAAUGAAUUGACGA